rnacentral:rRNA from 1 species
AGAACGAACGCUGGCGGCAGGCCUAAUACAUGCAAGUCGAACGCACUCUUCGGAGUGAGUGGCAGACGGGUGAGUAACGCGUGGAAACCUUCCCAAUAGUACGGAAUAACUCCGGGAAACCGGUGCUAAUACCGUAUAAGCCCUUCGGGGGAAAGAUUUAUCGCUAUUGGAUGGGUCCGCGUCGGAUUAGCUUGUUGGUAGGGUAAUGGCCUAUCAAGGCGACGAUCCGUAGCUGGUCUGAGAGGAUGAUCAGCCACACUGGGACUGAGACACGGCCCAGACUCCUACGGGAGGCAGCAGUAGGGAAUCUUGGACAAUGGGCGAAAGCCUGAUCCAGCCAUGCCGCGUGAGUGAAGAAGGCCUUAGGGUUGUAAAGCUCUUUUGGCGGGACGAUAAUGACGGUACCCGCAGAAUAAGCCCGGCUAACUUCGUGCCAGCAGCCGC